rnacentral:rRNA from 1 species
UACGUAGGGUGCAAGCGUUAAUCGGAAUUACUGGGCGUAAAGCGUGCGCAGGCGGUUUGCUAAGACAGGUGUGAAAUCCCCGGGCUUAACCUGGGAACUGCGCUUGUAACUGGCAAGCUAGAGUGUGGCAGAGGGGGGGUGGAAUUCCACGUGUAGCAGUGAAAUGCGUAGAGAUGUGGAGGAACACCGAUGGCGAAGGCAGCCCCCUGGGCUGACACUGACGCUCAUGCACGAAAGCGUGGGGAGCAAACAGG